UACGGAGGGGGCUAGCGUUGUUCGGAUUUACUGGGCGUAAAGGGCGCGUAGGCGGCCUCUGCAAGUCGACUGUGAAAUCUCCGGGCUUAACCCGGAAAGGUCAGCCGAUACUGCAGGGCUAGAGUGCAGAAGGGGCAACUGGAAUUCUCGGUGUAGCGGUGAAAUGCGUAGAUAUCGAGAGGAACACCUGCGGCGAAGGCGGGUUGCUGGGCUGACACUGACGCUGAGGCGCGAAAGCUAGGGGAGCGAACGGG
rnacentral:rRNA from 1 species